UACGUAGGUGGCAAGCGUUGUCCGGAUUUAUUGGGCGUAAAGCGCGCGUAGGCGGCCACUGCAAGUCGGUUGUGAAAUCUCCGGGCUUAACCCGGAAAGGUCAAUCGAUACUGCAGGGCUAGAGUGCAGAAGGGGCAACUGGAAUUCUCGGUGUAGCGGUGAAAUGCGUAGAUAUCGAGAGGAACACCUGCGGCGAAGGCGGGUUGCUGGGCUGACACUGACGCUGAAGCGCGAAAGCUAGGGGAGCGAACGGG
rnacentral:rRNA from 1 species